UCCCUAGUGGUUCAGAGGUUAAAGCGUCUGCCUGAAAUGCGGGAGACCCGGGUUCAAUCCCUGGGUCAGGAA
rnacentral:tRNA from 1 species